rnacentral:misc_RNA from 1 species
UUUUUUUUUUUUUUUUUAACUUCUCUUUUAUUUAUUUGUUCUUUGGGAAGGGGGGCACAUAGGGAAAUGAUGAGAAUAGAGAGUUGGAGUUUAGAAAAGAGACAAAAUGCAGAAUACUAAAGAGUGUAAUGGUCAAAAUGAUGCUGUCAUCCAUUGUUAAACAAGUUUGUUAUUCCUUGGUUGAGCCUGGAGACCUUUGUGGUAAAAAAGUUUGUUUAAUGCCUUAGCAAUGCAAAUCAAUAUAUUUAUUAUUUAAUGGACAUAACCUGUGCUUACAAUGUAUUAAGGAAUGCUGUAACAUAAUGAAAAUUUUCAUCACUAGAAAUCUCUUAAAUAGGAAGUUUUACCAUUUAAAAGCAUAUCAUAUAUAAGUGUUUGUGUCUAUGUAUGUAUUUUAAUGUUGAAUAUCUUCAGAGGACAAUGGAACAGAUUAGAAGCAUUAUAAUAAUAUAGUCAUAAUGGAAACAUUUGAAAUUAUUCUUAGCUCUAGUUGAAGUUAGUUCUACAGGGAGAGACUUGUGAUGCAGAGAGAGGUAAACCCUACACAUUAUUAAGCUGAUCUUUGUUUGCAGCCCUAUUGCUCUUGGCAGCUUUUGUUGCAAGCUUUAUUUACGUUUUCUUGAGAGAGAGAGAGAGAG